rnacentral:rRNA from 1 species
GCAGCCACUCAUUCAAAGAGUGCGUUAUAGCACACUGGUCGAGUGAUCCUGCGCCGAAGAUUUCCGGGGCUAAAACUUACUACCGAAGCUACGGCAUCAGUAAUGAUGGGUAGGGGAGCUUCCCAUACGGGUUGAAGCAUGACCGUAAGGACAUGUGGACAGUAUGGGAGUGAGAAUGUUGGCAUGAGUAGCGAGAUGUGGGUGAGAAUCCCACAGGCCGUAAACCCAAGGUUUCCAGGGGAAGGUUCGUCCGCCCUGGGUUAGUCGGGACCUAAGCUGAGGCCGAAAGGCGUAGGGGAUGGACAACAGGUUGAUAUUCCUGUACUACCGAUAACCGUUUGAGAGAUGGGAUGACACAGUAGGAUAAGCUAAGCACACUGUUGGUUAUGUGUGCCCAAGCAUUGAGGCAGUCAAAGUAGGUAAAUCCGCUUUGAUAAUGCUGGGAUGUGAUGGGGAGCGAAAUUUAGUAGCGAAGUAGCUGAUUUCACACUGUCAAGAAAAGUCUCUAUCGAGGUUAAAGGUACCCGUACCGCAAACCGACACAGGUGGGUGAGGAGAGUAUCCUAAGGCCAGCGAGAGAACUGUUGUUAAGGAACUCGGCAAAAUGACCCCGUAACUUAGGGAUAAGGGGUGCCACCAUCAGGUGGCCGCAGAGAAUAGGCCCAAGCGACUGUUUACCAAAAACAUAGGUUUCUGCUAAGUCGCAAGACGAUGUAUAGGAGCUGACGCCUGCCCGGUGCUGGAAGGUUAAGGGGAUCUGUUAGAGCAAUCGAAGCAGUGAACUUAAGCC